AGUGAACGCUGGCGGUAGGCCUAACACAUGCAAGUCGAACGGCAGCACAGUAAGAGCUUGCUCUUACGGGUGGCGAGUGGCGGACGGGUGAGGAAUACAUCGGAAUCUACUUUUUCGUGGGGGAUAACGUAGGGAAACUUACGCUAAUACCGCAUACGACCUACGGGUGAAAGCAGGGGAUCUUCGGACCUUGCGCGAUUGAAUGAGCCGAUGUCGGAUUAGCUAGUUGGCGGGGUAAAGGCCCAUCAAGGCGACGAUCCGUAGCUGGUCUGAGAGGAUGAUCAGCCACACUGGAACUGAGACACGGUCCAGACUCCUACGGGAGGCAGCAGUGGGGAAUAUUGGACAAUGGGCGCAAGCCUGAUCCAGCCAUACCGCGUGGGUGAAGAAGGCCUUCGGGUUGUAAAGCCCUUUUGUUGGGAAAGAAAAGCGGCAGGUUAAUACCCCGCUGUUCUGACGGUACCCAAAGAAUAAGCACCGGCUAACUUCGUG
rnacentral:rRNA from 1 species